CGCUGGCGGGCUCCGCGCACCGCACUCCAGCCAAUCAACGUUUAGAUCUGGCGUGACGCGAGCUUCUCGUUUGCCCCCCCCUCCCCGCCGGGAGCCGCCCUCUCUGAGAAGCCACGCCCACCUCCUGCUAUGCUGCAAGGCUCUGGCACAUCCCGCGCGGUCCUAAUGCUUGAUGGGUUCCAGCAGACUGAGGACGUGGGUUUGGGACUUUCGGACCACGGCGAGGUGAGCUUGGCCCGGAGCGGCAGAAGUGGGCGAGGUUCGCGUGGGAGGAGGGACAUCGACUUAGUUUUUCUUGAGAGAUCUGACCGUGCCGUGGCUGCAGACCAUCUUCGCGUCAGCCACCGCCCUGGAUCACGCCAAGUGGGUUCCCAGCCCCUGCCGCCUCGUGAACUCCGCCAAAGUCAGCCACGGGAGAUUACCAUAUUCUAAAACUUCACCUGGACCGUUGGUGUGAACGCUGGGACGAAGAUCCAGGAGUUAGGAUAAGACUGAAUUGAACCCUAAAUCAGCUUCCGUGAUAAAACCGAGAGAUGGAGAAUUACUCAGCACAUUUUAUAUUGAUAAAGGAGUGCCCGGUGCAGAAGAACCAGAAGAACAAGGCCUGGAAUCCUCAGGAACUGGAAUUACAAAUGUUUGUGAACAGUCACAUGGCUACUGGAAUCAGUCUCUGAUCUUUUGGAAAACACACCCUGUCCUCUUAAAUCCCUGAGCCACCUCUCCAGCUCCUGUUUUAUAUUCUAUUCCUAAGUAUAUUUUGAACUUUGGAGGAAAUGCUUUCUUAGUCUGUUCACAUGAUGGUGUGCGUUUUAAACUCUGUUUUAUUAAAUGGUGUGUUGCAACAUUUCUGAUUUUAAAACAGCCUUGCAUUCCUGGGAUAAACUUUAGUUGGUGUCUUAGUUAGGGUUUUAUUGCUGUGAUGAGACACCAUGACCAAGACAACUCUUAUAAAGG
rnacentral:lncRNA from 1 species